CGCGAGAGUGACGCUGAGAAACGUCAAAUUACUCGCUGUCGAGUGACAGUUGAGACUUGACUUUGACAGAUUAAAUUCACUUUAAUAGUAACUCGAAUCUUUGUUCUUUGUUCUAAUGUAGUUUGAGUUUUUUGAAGAUUAACGGUUAGAAAAUGGAGGAUAGGGCGCCAGCUUGCUGAAUGCUGGAAGACGGAGUUAAAGCUCGUUCACACAGUGACAUUAAUGUCGUGAUUCGUCGAUUUUUCCAAGUUCUCACCUGCUGAUUAUAAAAGUGGCUGUUGAUGGAAGUUGAUCCAGCCGAGAAGUACAUGUUUUCUAAUUUUUAUUUAAAGUUUAAUAGGCUGAGAAAGUUAACCAGAAAAUAAAAUAUAUGAAUAAGUUAUUAUAACUAUAAAACCCGCUGAAGGCGCGCCGAAAACGCGAAACAAAAUUAUUAAAAAGGACAACUUUGAAAGCGCUAGCAGAUAAAUAGAACAGUAAAAGCCAAAGCAAUUCUGAAUAGGGGUCACAGAGGAUUUGAAGAAACUAAUGAUAAAAAAGCUUGUGAGAGGCCACCGAAGGACUAAAUGAACCCUACACAUCUGUACGGCCUCUAAGAAACGAGAACGAAAAAUGGUAAAAAAGUAGAAGAACAAAUCAACAUGGAAAUGAAUAUUCCACCGUCAAAUGUGCAUGCCCUUUCGAAAAAGUAGAAACCAAGAAAUUGAUGAAGAAAGUUCUGGACUUGAGCUGAUUACCCGUGGACCUUUGCAAGAGCCUUCAAUAAAGGCAACAUUCUAUCUUUUAACCGUCAAUAAUUUUACACUCGAUAAUCAGAUUUUAAAAUUUUUUUAUCAAACCAUAUCUCUAUUCUUGGACAGCUUGUAAAACAAUGUAAUAAACAUUUGGUAAAGGA